rnacentral:rRNA from 1 species
UUUAGAUGUUUUGAUUCUGGCUCAGGAUGAACGCUGGCGGCGUGCCUAACACAUGCAAGUCGAGCGAUCUCUUCGGAGAGAGCGGCGGACGGGUGAGUAACGCGUGGGUAACCUGCCCUGUACACACGGAUAACAUACCGAAAGGUAUACUAAUACGGGAUAACAUACGAAAGUCGCAUGGCUUUUGUAUCAAAGCUCCGGCGGUACAGGAUGGACCCGCGUCUGAUUAGCUAGUUGGUAAGGUAAUGGCUUACCAAGGCAACGAUCAGUAGCCGACCUGAGAGGGUGAUCGGCCACACUGGAACUGAGACACGGUCCAGACUCCUACGGGAGGCAGCAGUGGGGAAUAUUGCACAAUGGGCGAAAGCCUGAUGCAGCAACGCCGCGUGAGCGAUGAAGGCCUUCGGGUCGUAAAGCUCUGUCCUCAAGGAAGAUAAUGACGGUACUUGAGGAGGAAGCCCCGGCUAACUACGUGCCAGCAGCCGCGGUAAUACGUAGGGGGCUAGCGUUAUCCGGAAUUACUGGGCGUAAAGGGUGCGUAGGUGGUUUUUUAAGUCAGAAGUGAAAGGCUACGGCUCAACCGUAGUAAGCUUUUGAAACUAGAGAACUUGAGUGCAGGAGAGGAGAGUAGAAUUCCUAGUGUAGCGGUGAAAUGCGUAGAUAUUAGGAGGAAUACCAGUAGCGAAGGCGGCUCUCUGGACUGUAACUGACACUGAGGCACGAAAGCGUGGGGAGCAAACAGGAUUAGAUACCCUGGUAGUCCACGCCGUAAACAAAGAGUACUAGGUGUCGGGGGUUACCCCCCUCGGUGCCGCAGCCCCCGCAUUAAAGGAACCU